GACGAACGCUGGCGGCGUGCUUAACACAUGCAAGUCAAGGGGGCCCGCAAGGGCAACCGGCGAACGGGUGAGUAACACGUAGGUUAUCUGCCCCCAUCACAGACAUAACCCCGGGAAACCGGGGCUAAUAUCUGAUGAGGUCGCGAGAUCAAAGCUUCGGCGGAUGGGGAUGAGCCUGCGGCUGAUUAGCUAGUUGGUGAGGUAAUGGCUCACCAAGGCGACGAUCAGUAGCUGGUCUGAGAGGACGAACAGCCACACUGGAACUGAGACACGGUCCAGACUCCUACGGGAGGCAGCAGUGAGGAAUAUUGGUCAAUGGGAGCAAUCCUGAACCAGCAAUGCCGCGUGUGGGAUGACAGGGCUUCGCCUUGUAAACCACUGUCGGACGGGACGAAAGGAGGCCUCGGGCCUCUGGGACGGUACCGUCAAAGGAAGGGUCGGCUAACUACGUGCCAGCAGCCGCGGUAAU
rnacentral:rRNA from 1 species